rnacentral:lncRNA from 1 species
UUGCGCUUUAAUCAGGUGAGACAGCCGGCGAGACGUGAAUUUUUUCCUUUUCUCUUUACAGGCAGGCAACAGAAGCACAAAUUGUGUGGCUUGCUGAGUUCGCAUAGGAAUGGCCUUGCUAGCGAUGGAGGGAAAAUCCAGAUCUCCCAAGUACCAGACCAGCAUCUCCAUCAAAGAUCAUCCUUCUGCCUGGUUUCUGCUCUGGUUCCUGAAUGAUGCUCAACCCUUCUGUUCCUGAAGCGGAGCCUGUGCUUAGGACAACGCAUACAGCAGCUGAUGGAGAAUGCGCCGGCAUUUUGGAGGUGCUCAGGCUUCCAUAUUACACGUGUGGGACUGCAACAGCUGAAAGCAGGGCUGGGGGAUUCCUCGUGUGCAUCCAUCAUCUCUAAAUGCCUCUCUGCAUCCUGGUCUGAAUUCAGCAGCAAGUACAAGCAGCCUGGCUCACCGACAGCAGAUAAAGAAGAGCCAGCAUCCAAACUGGAUCCAUUUCUUUGAAGCUUAAAAAAUGGUCCGCUG